UAUUAUCUGAUAAAUUCGAAUUAUCCCGAAUUUGAAAUUCAAAUUCACCAUCAAAGAACUGAAACCUGAAUAACCUGAAACAGUAAAACCUCUAUUCAGAAAUAUAAGACUGUUAUGUAAUGGUAUAAUCGUGUCUCCAACUACUGCCAUUUUCUAAAUAUAACACCUUAUGUAACUCACACUUUAAAGAGUCAUGAAUAAUAGAUGAGUGGUGGUUAUUAAUGGUAGUAAAUGAACAUGUAAACAUUUUCAAAAACAUUGUGAAUAUUUUCAAACAAAUAUAAAUUGACAAAAGAAUAAUGUAAUGAUAAGUAAAUUUGGAUAAUAAUAAAUUUAUAUUUACACUUUUAAUAGUAAUAGUAAUUAAGUUGAAUUGAGUCCAGCCCGAAAGCACCAUCGGGAAAGAGGGCCACCUCACACCAAAUCGCUCCACGUCAGACAUGAGCUCGGGAAUAAGGUUGGAGAAUCAGGAAGUACACCCCGAUUGAACCAAGAGCUUGUGAGAACGCGGGAAUUCAAGCGGUGAAAAGGGGCGUGGAGGUACCCGCGGGAACAGUGCCCCUCCACGCGGGAACUACAACUUUUAUUACUCAAAGGGCUUUUUCCCAUGCCCAAUAUCGACUAAACCUUUGUCUUGCUUAAAAUCAUAUUAAAAAUUUGUGUUUACUUUUCACCUGUAAAAAGGUUAAAAUUAUAUAUAUAGCUCAUGUGAUUUGUCAAAACUGCAAAGUUAUGUAACUUAUAUUUGUUAAUUUUUUUUAAAACUGCAAAGUUAUCUAACCUAUAUUUGUUAAUUUUUUUUAAAAUAAUUAUUUUACCCUUUCUUUACAAAGCACAGGCAGCUGGUUAUAUAAUUUACUCAAAAAUACUAAAAAACAUAAACAAAAACUCCUAACUUUAAAACGGAGCAUGUUUGGGAUUCAUAAACGAGUCAAGAAGUCGUUACAUGUCUCGUUGCGACUACCUUUGUAAAGUUUCCAAUUUUAUCCGUUUUAACCUAAGCCUCCUUUCUCCCCCAAAAUUUUCUAGAUUCAUCAGUGUCUCCAGACAUCAAUAAUCAUAACCACCAAUCACCCGCCUCUAGAUUCAAAACACACACGCUAGCACCUUAUUUCAAUUCUAAGCUACCACAAGCCACCAUACGCACCUUAUAACACCACCGUUUCCACCAUGCCACCUUACAACACCACAAUUUGAACAUCAAGAAGGGAUCUCCGAAUCAAUACCCUAAUUGGAUUCCAGUAAAUCGGGACUACCAUCUCCCCCAUCUAACUCGACAAAUCCUACUUUCCUAGAAUAAUCUUUUUUGCUUCAAUGAAGUAUGGGUUGUAUAUAAACUUGUUGGCUUCAGUAGACUUGAAUUUCAAACCAAAAAUCUAUGUUUACAUAUGUUUAUUUGAUAUAGUGUUAUGAUUCAAUAUAAGUUGCAUUUUUUUAAAGAGUUAAAUUUAAAUGUAAGGAAUCUGUCAGGGUUUUAAUGUAAGUGGGUUCAUGAUGAUUAUGAAGAGUAGAGUGGCUACUUAACACUUAACACCUGUCUUCCCUAUCAAACAUGCUACAAUCAUAGGAAACCAGAUCUUGAAUCCAUAAACCCAACAAAACAAAACAAAUCUGUGAUCCAACAUUUCGUAUCAUAGUCAAACUAAAUAUAUUUUGGAUCAAGUGACAAUAUUCAUAUGCAUGUUUUCAACAAUGUAAAGAUCAGAUUUUGUCAAACUGGAAUAUAGUUAUUUUAAAUUUCAAGAAAAUGAAUCAUUAGAUUGGGGAUCAAGGGACAUAUUAGUCUUGAUCUAAAUGUCAUUGUUUUUUUAACGGCCAGUAAAAUCAGUCCCAUGUACUCUCUCUCGGAGCACCCACUGGACCAAACAGAGUACUCCGAGAGUAAUCCUAGUCCACCACUAAUUCCGGGAAAAACCCGGUAACCCACCUGACUGUAGACAUGACGGUGAAAUUACAGGUAAAAGUUGUUUGGCUUCUUGGCAAGAAUAGUGACAAUUAGAUCAAAUGCACAGCAUUAUUAAGUAAUUUUGUUGAUAAAAAAUAAUAUUAUCCAGUAAUCUUGAUUUACCUUGCUAAAGAUCUUGAAGUUAUGAUCAUUCAUUCAUUCAUUUUAAACAUAUAAAUACCAACUUGAAUGAAGUCUAACUUUUAUUGAACGGCAAACCACUCCUAAAUACUCUUAUGCCUACACUUUACAGGAUUUGAACUAUCCACCUCUUGGAUUGAGGGGAGGAUCGUACCAACACUCGAUGUCCCUUUGAGGACUUGAAUACCCUAGUUGACUAGAAUGAGGGUCAAAGAAAUGAAAUUAAAUAAAUCCCAACUUGAAUAAACCCUAUUGACGCCCAUGACAUUAGAGCCUAGUGACAUUUUGGGGAUGGGAUAAGUUUUGGGACCAUUAGGUCCUGGGUUUGAUUCUCACAAAUGGUGGUUUUCCCAUAUUUAUUGUGUUUCCUCCUGAAUUGGUGUAUAGACAUUAUAUAGCCUAGUGAGAAUUGGAUAUGAUCGGGUGGUUCUAUUGGUGGCACGAUGAUACUCCAGUGGUCCGUCAGUGAUCCUAAUUUACCGUUCAAAAAAAAGAAUAAACCCAACUGACCCUAGUUGACUAAAAUGACCUCAAGGCGAUUUUAGCCUAGCGUAUCAAGAUGUACAGUAAGGAUGUUUCUCCACAAAUGGUCGAUUGUUCCCGUAAUAGAUAUCGAUGUAAAUUUAACAAUAUGUUUAGACGGUGUAUGAGUUAGCCAUUCUUAAAAAAUUGACACAGUAACUUUCUAGGGUUAGAAAAGGCCUAAAGAGUUCCAUUUCUAAUUUUCUAGAUGCAAGUGCUUGGUCUACUUCCAUUUAAAAAUGCAUAUGCAGAACAUAUCCAUAUAAAAAUUUGUGUGUGUAAUUAUUUAUAUGCAUAUGUGCAAAAAUAUUGCAAGAAAUGAAAAAAUUUUAAAGAGAUUUUACCAUAGACCAAAUUGGGAAAGAGGCCAAUGCUGCAACUCUCAGUUCUUAGCUUUAUCUUUCUGAUGAUCUACUCCUCCGCCGUAGCUAAGCGGGUACCCGCCUGUCGACUGAAAAUGAUCAACACCGCUAUUCGGAACAAUGAAAAACGGAAGAUUCGAUGACGCUGAUCCGUCUAUUGCAGAUUGUUGAAACCUCUGAAGGUGGUGAUGAUGAGGCAAAACCGAUGACGGUAAAUUGGACUGAAGGGUCCCCCUAGUGAAACCACCUGGAGCAACACCACCGGACGAAGACGACGGUGACGUCAUUGAAAAGUUUAAGUUGUCUUGUUGUUGAAAGAAAGAGAACUGAUGCAGGUUAUUGUUGUCACCAGUGGUUAUGUUGAACUGUGGCAGUUGAAACAACUGAGUUUGAGUUUGUUGAGGCGGGCGGUUGUAGAAAUAUUCCAUCGGUGAGCGGCCGCCGGUGAGAAGAUCUGUGAAAGAUGAGUUGUUUGAUAUAUUGUUGGUGUCCAUCUGGUUCAAAAUACUAACCCUAGUUGAAUCUGUUUCUUUCUCUUUUUCCUUCUCCUUUUUCGAAGAGGCCAGUUCUCUCGCUCGUUCUCGAGCUUUGAGUCUGUUCUCUGAUCGAGACAGCGAGAGCUCUGACCCCUUACUUGUUUCGGAAGUGCUACUACACACAGGCGACUUCGCCUGUGUAGCAUUAUUAUUACUCUCAAGUUGUUGGUCAUGAUUUUCUAAAGUGGAACCAGUACCGGUACCUGUACCCAGUACCUUCUUUUGGUUACUUGUCUGGUGGUGGUAGUGGUGGUGGUCGGGGAUUGAACCGGAUAUUGGCAGAUCGAGGGACGGAAGCUCAUCGAUAGAGCUAGACGCCGCCUUGAGCAACCACUCUACGGCUUUGCUAGGCUGAUCAUAGCCUAACCGGUCUUGCAGAUCGUAAAACUGGAUCGCGGUGCCCACCGAAAGGCGGACACGGCGGUCCCGAAGUCCUUUCGAUGUCAAAACCUUACUGUGUCUAUCUUUUCCUCCAGAAGCCCUAGAAACCCUAACUAUUCUAGAGGAAGGCCAUCCACAGAAGCGCGCAACGCCACCACCACCGCCUACCACCACAUCAAUUCCUCCACCAACACCGGCACCAGUAGCACCACCACCGCCGCCGCCGCCGUCAUCUACGUGGUUUUGUACCUCAAAGUUCCCUACUCUAGUAGCUAGUUUUUGCGGAUUUGUAGAAGUUUCAGUAGUUGUAGUACUACCAUUAGAAGAAACCCUUUGGAAUUUACUCACCUGUCUUUGAAAUUCAUCCACCUCCAUGCCCAGCUUUCAUACCUUGCUUCAACAAACAAAAAAAAAUUCAAACCAAACACAGCCCCAAAUAUCUUAUCUAGAGAGAGAAGUUUAGAGAGAGAAAGUAGGGGUAAAUAUAUAUUUAGAGAGAGAGAGGGAAGGGGAGUAUUGAUGUGUGUGAGCAGGAGUGGU
rnacentral:lncRNA from 1 species